AUACGGAGGGUGCAAGCGUUACUCGGAAUCACUGGGCGUAAAGCGCGCGCAGGCGGCUAUUUAAGUUGGAUGUGAAAGCCUACGGCUCAACCGUAGAACUGCAUCCAAAACUAUUGAGCUAGAGUGUGGGAGAGGAAGAUGGAAUUAGUUGUGUAGGGGUAAAAUCCGUAGAGAUAACUAGGAAUACCAAAAGCGAAGGCAAUCUUCUGGAACACUACUGACGCUGAGGCGCGAAAGCGUGGGGAGCAAACAGGAUUAGAAACCCCAGUAGUCC
rnacentral:rRNA from 1 species